AGAGUUUGAUCCUGGCUCAGGAUGAACGCUAGCGGCAGGCUUAACACAUGCAAGUCGAGGGGCAUCGGGAGGGAAGCUUGCUUUCCUUGCCGGCGACCGGCGCACGGGUGAGUAACACGUAUGCAACCUGCCCUCUUCAGGGGGACAACCUUCCGAAAGGGAGGCUAAUCCCGCGUAUAUCGGUUUCGGGCAUCCGAGAUCGAGGAAAGAUUCAUCGGAAGAGGAUGGGCAUGCGGCGCAUUAGCUAGACGGCGGGGUAACGGCCCACCGUGGCGACGAUGCGUAGGGGUUCUGAGAGGAAGGUCCCCCACACUGGUACUGAGACACGGACCAGACUCCUACGGGAGGCAGCAGUGAGGAAUAUUGGUCAAUGGGAGAGAUCCUGAACCAGCCAAGCCGCGUGAGGGAAGACGGCCCUAUGGGUUGUAAACCUCUUUUGUCGGAGAACAAAACCCGGAACGAGUCCCGGACUGCGUGUAUCCGAAGAAAAAGCAUCGGCUAACUCCGUGCCAGCAGCCGCGGUAAUACGGAGGAUGCGAGCGUUAUCCGGAUUUAUUGGGUUUAAAGGGUGCGUAGGCGGUCCGUUAAGUCAGCGGUAAAAUUGCGGGGCUCAACCCCGUCGAGCCGUUGAAACUGGCAGACUUGAGUUGGCGAGAAGUACGCGGAAUGCGCGGUGUAGCGGUGAAAUGCAUAGAUAUCGCGCAGAACUCCGAUUGCGAAGGCAGCGUACCGGCGCCACACUGACGCUGAGGCACGAAAGCGUGGGGAUCGAACAGGAUUAGAUACCCUGGUAGUCCACGCAGUAAACGAUGAAUGCUGGUUGUCCGGGUCGAAUGAGACCUGGGCGGCGAAGCGAAAGCGAUAAGCAUUCCACCUGGGGAGUACGCCGGCAACGGUGAAACUCAAAGGAAUUGACGGGGGCCCGCACAAGCGGAGGAACAUGUGGUUUAAUUCGAUGAUACGCGAGGAACCUUACCCGGGCUCAAACGGGAGUGGAAUGGACCAGAGACGGUUCAGCCUACGGGCCGCUUCCGAGGUGCUGCAUGGUUGUCGUCAGCUCGUGCCGUGAGGUGUCGGCUUAAGUGCCAUAACGAGCGCAACCCCCGCCGGCAGUUGCUAACGGGCAAUGCCGAGGACUCUGCCGGGACUGCCGCCGCAAGGCGUGAGGAAGGCGGGGAUGACGUCAAAUCAGCACGGCCCUUACGUCCGGGGCGACACACGUGUUACAAUGGGCGGUACAGCGGGAAGCCAGGCGGCGACGCCGAGCGGAACCCGAAAGCCGUUCUCAGUUCGGAUCGGAGUCUGCAACCCGACUCCGUGAAGCUGGAUUCGCUAGUAAUCGCGCAUCAGCCAUGGCGCGGUGAAUACGUUCCCGGGCCUUGCACACACCGCCCGUCA
rnacentral:rRNA from 1 species